rnacentral:rRNA from 1 species
UACGGGGGGAGCAAGCGUUGUUCGGAUUUACUGGGCGUAAAGGGCGCGUAGGCGGUAGCACAAGUCAGUUGUGAAAUCUCCGGGCUUAACUCGGAAAGGUCAACUGAUACUGUGCGACUAGAGUGCAGAAGGGGCAACUGGAAUUCUCGGUGUAGCGGUGAAAUGCGUAGAUAUCGAGAGGAACACCUGCGGCGAAGGCGGGUUGCUGGGCUGACACUGACGCUGAGGCGCGAAAGCAUGGGGAGCGAACAGG